GGGCGCGGGGCAGCCCGUGACAUCCCCCUGCAUUCCCUGCAGUUCUCCCAGUGCCCGCCUGACUACCACCACAUCCACACCGAGAUCUCCCGGGAAGGAGCCCGCGUCCUGGCGCUGGGGUACAAGGAGCUGGGACACCUCACUCACCAGCAGGCCCGGGAGGUCAAGCGGGAGGCCCUGGAGUGCAGCCUCAAGUUCGUCGGCUUCAUUGUGGUCUCCUGCCCGCUCAAGGCUGACUCCAAGGCCGUGAUCCGGGAGAUCCAGAAUGCGUCCCACCGGGUGGUCAUGAUCACGGGAGACAACCCGCUCACUGCAUGCCACGUGGCCCAGGAGCUGCACUUCAUUGAAAAGGCCCACACGCUGAUCCUGCAGCCUCCUUCUGAGAAAGGUGAGGCCCUAGCCUGGCCCACAGUGGGGAAGGGGGACCCUGAGUCCAAGAACAGCUCCCAUCGCAACAGCCCACCUGUGUACCAGGCCUCAGCAGCACAGUGUCUUCAAAUGCCUGGCACCACUAAUCACAGCCCUGGCCCACUGGGCACCUCGGACAGCAUGUGAGCGUUCACUGGGUCACAGGUCCCAGGAUGUGCGGCAUGUAGGUGUUUAUUUACCAUAAUGAGGCGAUAGUCUGACUGCCAGCUCGGGUUUCCUGUGCACUCAUGGGCAGAUACUGCUCCUACCACGCUUACUCCCCAUCCUCAGUGUCAUCCUCAUUUCAUACCCUCUUUGGCCCGGCAAGCUGCCCAUGUACCGAGUGCUCCCUUCCCGAGCACAGGGACUGCUGGCAUCCUCAGCCACAGUUGAUGGCACAGUUUGCCCAGUGCUCAGCCUGACCAGACCCCAGGCGGAGCGCUCCGUGCGUGUUACUGCGUUGGUCCCUCCACCCCAUCCUGCACCACACGGAGUGGCUUGCCUUCCCCACACCACGGAGGAGGAAGCUGG
rnacentral:sRNA from 1 species